rnacentral:siRNA from 1 species
UCGGAGAGACGGGGCUAGCUACCC